rnacentral:lncRNA from 1 species
AUCAUAAGGAUCCUUAGAGAACAAGUGGAGAGCCUGAAUGUGACCAAAAAUGAGCUGGGUGUGGAUGACGACACACUGCAGCAGUGGGUGGCCGAUGUGCAGAAAUGGGCUGAAGAAACUGAUCAAACUGAUGGCAGCCUUAGAGCGUUGCAGGCACGAAUAGAGGAGCUUGUCGUCAUCAUCAGAGUGCGAACACAAAGUCUUUACAGACAAAAUGAUUGCAACAAGAGGCGACACAGAAUUCGCAAGGUCAUCUUAGAUGAGAAGAAACGCUUGGCGGCUGCUGUUGACGACUACAACAAGCUUGCUGAACCAACAAAGCAAAUCGUAUCCAGUGAUGCCCUCAAGCAGACCGACAUUUGGCCCUGGCAGAGCACAAGUGAACCUGCUGCAGACCUCCAGACAAAGAGAAAGGUCUUUGAGAAGGUGAUGGCUGUGAGGCGCCUGAGAGAGGAGAUGAUCCUUUGCAGGGAGAUGCGGCAUCACUGGAUAGUGUUGCGAAUGCGAUCUGUGGUGUUGGGGACAAUCUCCUCAGACUCCUCCCUUGUUGGCAUGUCAGAGGAUGCACAGAAGGGACUCUGUAGCCUGGUUUUAAAAAAACAAAGUGAACUGAAAGUUGAAAUGCUCAAAGUAAAGUACAAGAGAAUCCUCAGCCACCAACCACUCCUGGAAAUGGACUCGGAGGAGGAAGACAUUCCAGACGAUGCCACUGAGAGUGAUUUGAGCACUUCUGUGGAAGACUGAUUGUGUCAUCAUUGAUGUUAUGUUUGGUAAAAUAAAAAGUUAAUCACAUUUCUGUUUAAUGUGAUUUUUACAAUGUCUGUUUUAGAAAUUGCUUAUCAUCAACAGACAUUUUACAUGUUGAGUUGAAAAAUGGAAUUCCCUUGGUGCAGUUGUUU